GAGCCCGCGGGCACCGGCACAGCCUUAGCGUUGCUUUCUCUCGGGUGCAUGGAUUUACCGUGAUUCCCGCUGGAUUUUCCCGAGCUUUCGUUGUCCCUGCCCAUAGGGCUGCGACACUUUUCCUGCCCCUUUGGCAGGCGAGUCAUCAUUUUGGCUACCCCGAGUGCGGGCAGGUCGAGCUGCUCACACGCUGCACACGAUUUGUAACAGGCGUGUGAUUUGUGCCGCAGGAAGGACAACUCCGGAUCUCCACGGGCUGGAGGGCAGCAAAGCCAGCGGCACGACUCGGAGCGCCAGGGAGCCAGACGGAGCAAGGGAGCGAACACGUGGAAGCUCUGAGAAAAGCGCGUGGUCACUCAGUGGCUGAGGAAAGCGGGCAGAGAUUAACAUAAAUCAAUAAAUCAAUAAAUCAUUGUUUUAAAAAGCAGCGCGGGAGAGAUACAUUAGCAUGAAAAUACUGUUUCAUCAAAGAAGAAGGAAAUAUAUUUGAAAAGAGCUAGCCAACAUGGAAUCCUAAAAAGGCCCAGGCCUGGAGUGGAAAGAUUCCCAGGAGAAGGGAAAGGCUCAGCAAACUCCGGGCUGGUAACAACCUGGAGAGGUACAAACAAAGGCCAAGUUGAUCUUCAUAACACCAGCUGCUCUUCAGUGUUGAAGAACGUGGAGCCCAGCCCAGCCACAACUAGGCCUGAAACAGAGAUCAAGAACGAACACACAGAUAAACAAAAGAGUUUGCUUGGUGAGAACAAGGCCUUCAUGGUUUCUUCUACUGUUCUCCUUUUAUUCUCCAAUGAGAGAUGUUGGAGGUGUGGCUAAUGGUUAAAUGACAGCAGUUAAUUCACUUUAUUCUAUAAAAGCCUGGUCCCAUUUUUGAUUGGGGGUGGAUUUCCAUACACUUUCCCAGGAGGUUGCUGGACGUUCUCCUCUCCCACAUGGACACCUGCCAGAGAGACUGAUUCUUGAGAAUUACUAUUCACCCAAGAACACCAAGCUGUGGCCGGGCAAGAGUGAGAGAUAUUGACUCUUUCAUGGUCUUUAUUAGUAAACUUCAUAUUAAGUAAUCUUCAUCAUUAAGUUUAAGAUUGAUAAUUAACAUUCUAAGCCUAGUAUAAAACUUGAUACUAAGGAAGGUGCUAGCAUUUUAAUGGUUAACCUUUAUUGAUUUAUCCAAGUACUUAAAAGUUUGACUUAGAAAUAUGUUGUGCUGUUUGGUACACUUUGGCACAUGCCUUCCCUAAUCAUGGACCCCAACCACACCAUGUUUGUUUCCUAAGUUGCUUUAUCCUAUAGCUGUCUAUUAAAUGGAUCCUGUCA